UAAUACGAAGGGUGCUAGCGUUGUUCGGAAUUACUGGGCGUAAAGCGCGCGUAGGCGGAUUAACAAGUUAGAGGUGAAAGCCCUGGGCUCAACCCAGGAAUUGCCUUUAAUACUGUUAGUCUUGAGGCCGAGAGAGGUGAGUGGAAUUUCCAGUGUAGAGGUGAAAUUCGUAGAUAUUGGAAAGAACACCAGUGGCGAAGGCGGCUCACUGGCUCGGUACUGACGCUGAGGUGCGAAAGCGUGGGGAGCGAACAGGAUUAGAUACCCUGGUAGUCCACGCCGUAAACGAUGAGUGCUAGCUGUUGGGAAGUUUACUUCUCAGUGGCGCAGCUAACGCAUUAAGCACUCCGCCUGGGGAGUACGAUCGCAAGAUUA
rnacentral:rRNA from 1 species